AAUAAAAGGCUAAGAAAUCAGGUCACACAGACUAGCAUUUACCUGCACCGUUCUUUGUUUCAUGGACACUCAAAAAUUACACUAAUGCCAUGUUUUAUAAAUGGUAUGGCUUACCUUUUAUAUGACCGGUCUGUUUGAGUGCCCACGAAAUGGUUGGCAGGUGCAGGUGUUCCGCUGGUGUCUGUGGUAUUCUGAUCCCGGACAAAGAGCCCCCAACUGUGGAAGUAGACAAAAAUAUUACCAGGUUCAAUAAAAAGCGUUUAAUUGACCAUUACAAUACA